rnacentral:ribozyme from 1 species
AGAGGUUCAAGGCCAUAACAGAAGUGUCAUGGUACAGCCCUGUCAGAUUCAAGUAAAUCUGUGAAUUCAGCU